CCUACGGGAGGCAGCAGUGAGGAAUAUUGGUCAAUGGGCGGAAGCCUGAACCAGCCAAGUCGCGUGAGGGAAUAAGGCCCUACGGUUCGUAAACCUCUUUUGCCGGGGAGCAAGGGCCGGCACGCGUCGCGGACCGGAGAGUACCCGGAGAAAAAGCAUCGGCUAACUCCGUGCCAGCAGCCGCGGUAAUACGGAGGAUGCGAGCGUUAUCCGGAUUUAUGGGGUUUAAAGGGUGCGUAGGCGGGCGGUUAAGUCAGCGGUAAAAAUUCGGGGCUCAAACCCGUCCGGCCGUUGAAACUGGGGGCCUUGAGUGGGCGAGAAGAAGGCGGAAUGCGUGGUGUAGCGGUGAAAUGCAUAGAUAUCACGCAGAACCCCGAUUGCGAAGGCAGCCUUCCGGCGCCCAACUGACGCUGAGGCACGAAAGUGCGGGGAUCGAACAGGAUUAGAUACCCCUGUAGUC
rnacentral:rRNA from 1 species